AGGGCCGGGGGAGGCAGCCAGGUGCAGCCCCUCCCUGGAGGACGACGCCCCAGUUCCACCUGUGGGGUGGCACCACUCCGGGGGCACAAAGGCUGGAGCGCAGAACCUCCCCACUGGGUCUGCCCGGGCCCCGGCAUAGCCGGACGGCCGGAGGGCCAGAGGCACUGAGGACGGGGUGCGGGAGGGAGAGUUCUGCUUUUGAUGUUAUUACUCUUUGUACUGUUUGAAAAUUUUAGCAUGUGCAUUAACACGGAAAAAUCAAAUUAAUUAAACCAGAAACAGAGGGUUCAAGCGGGCUCUGCACAGAGAUGGGGGUCUGGGCACCUUAGGGCCCCAACCCAGCCCUGAGCCCUCCGUUCACGGGGGUGUCAGGUGAGACCCGACAUGCUGGCUCAGGCUCCCCCCUCUCACCCACCUCCCCCCGCCACCGUGGGGCUGGCCGGCCAGGAGUCCCCGAGGGAGGAGGCUCAGGGAUUGCCAGCAAGUGUGUGGACACAGGAGCCCCGUCUGUUGCACUGCACCCUUCCUGCUUCCACAUCUGUGACCCUGGGGGACACAUCUGUCCUUCUGAAAGUCCCCAGAGAGAAACCACGCCUCGUCAGCCUGAGCCUGGGGAACGCUCAGAUGGGAGGGCGUCACACAGGCCCUGAAAUGCCAGGCCCAGGAGACCCCUGACACGUCCUUCUCACGGGAGGAAGAUGUCACAGGAAAAGGGCAAAGCAGCGUGACAGAGGGGAGAGAACGUUGCCAUCAGAUUCCACGUUUUAUCUCGGAUAAUUCUUCCCGAGCACUUCGGCUCCCCGGGACACCUGAGGACGGGGGUGCUGGACGCGCCUGUGGCCUGUCUGUGAAGACAGUAAUGCAUAGCAAACGCCACUGCUCAACAGGAAUCUUGACCUCUGACCCCACAGACCCCGAAGUUCCCUCAAACUCCUUGACCAACAGGGAAGCCGGCUCUGUGCCCGUCCCCCCGCGCAGCACUUCGAGACGGGAAAGCGAAGCCAUGGUUCCCUUCUCGAUCAUCCUCAAGAAGGGGCCGCAUGCUCUUCUGGUCCUGGUGGGGUCGGGGUUGGCCCUUUCCCACCUCCCCUCCAGAGCAGCGUCCACACCCAGGGGGCCGGAGGGGGGUUGUUGGGUGGCCCGCCUCUGUCAUCUGACCCCAAAUACAGCUCAGUCCCAGCCCCCUGGCUGCAAGCCCAGAAUUUUCCAGUUUGGGGCCUUUCUGGGCCAACCUGAGUGGGUAAGGCGUCCUCCAAGGCUGGCAGACAGGCAGAGCCAGGAGAGUUGCCUGGUGGGUGGGGUCUCGGACGGUUCGGGGGGUGCCCGGGGGUUCUGUCUUCCCCCUGGAGCUAC